GGGGGCGAAAGGUUUCGACGGAGAAUACAAGGUUUGGACUGCGUGUCGAGGUCCCGCUGGCUCGUUAAACAAGUGGGAAAAAACAACUGCUGACACUGAGUUAGCAUUAGCCGCCUAAUUCGUUAGGUAGCUCGUCCCCAGAUCCCGCGCCUGCCGGGGGUCUGGUAGGGCGCCAUAUAGGUGGGCUAGCCGCUGCGGCGCCUGGAAGCAGUAGCGAAACUAACAGGCUGGUGGUUUGGAAAUCCCGUCCGCCGGAGUUCUAAACUGCGAGAUUAAACGACGGACUACACACGUAGAUGUUCUUGCUGAGGUUCUUUCGGACGCGGGUUCGAUUCCCGCCGCCUCCACUG
rnacentral:tmRNA from 1 species